GAGUUUGAUCAUGGCUCAGAUUGAACGCUGGCGGCAUGCCUUACACAUGCAAGUCGAACGGCAGCACGGGAGCUUGCUCCUGGUGGCGAGUGGCGAACGGGUGAGUAAUGCAUCGGAACGUAUCCUGGAGUGGGGGAUAACGUAGCGAAGUUACGCUAAUACCGCAUAUUCUGUGAGCAGGAAAGCGGGGGACCUUCGGGCCUCGCGCUCUUGGAGCGGCCGAUGUCGGAUUAGCUAGUUGGUGAGGUAAGACUCACCAAGGCGACGAUCCGUAGCAGGUCUGAGAGGAUGAUCUGCCACACUGGAACUGAGACACGGUCCAGACUCCUACGGGAGGCAGCAGUGGGAAUUUUGGACAAUGGGGCAACCCUGAUCCAGCCAUGCCGCGUGAGUGAAGAAGGCCUCGGUUGUAAGUAC
rnacentral:rRNA from 1 species